CGCCGCGACGGAAUAAAAGGAAGCGGAAACGUCCCCGGACUCAUUUCAAUGCGACACCCCUGCGCUGCGGACACCAGGAGCGGCCGCCUCGUCUGCCUCCCUCACGAUUUUAAAUGUUAUUAGUUGGCCUCAUCUGUUGAAGAUGCUUCACCUCGAGGGUCAACGUCUCGCUGAUGGGGUUCAAACCAUCGGACCGUAGACGCCAAUCGGCGCUGUGAAGCCGGGUGGAGCUCUCAUGAAGAUGGUGACGAUGGUCCCAUGGUGAUGAAGAUGGCGGUCCUCUCCUGGGUCAACGUCUCGCUGAUGGGGUUCAAACCAUCGGACCGUAGACGCCAAUCGGCGCUGUGAAGCCGGCUCAACGUCUCGGCCCGCUGAUGGGGUUCAAACCAGCGGACCCGACCGGUAACCGAAGCCGGGUCAACGUCUCGGCCCGCUGAUGGGGUUCAAACCAUCGGACCCGACCGAGAUGGUGACGACCAAUUGGCGCCGUGAAGCCGGGUCAACGUCUCGCUGAUGGGGUUCAAACCAUCGGACCGUAGACGCCAAUCGGCGCUGUGAAGCCGGCUCAACGUCUCGCUGAUGGGGUUCAAACCAUCGGACCGUAGACGCCAAUCGGCGCUGUGAAGCCGGGUGGAGCUCUCAUGAAGAUGGUGACGAUGGUCCCAUGGUGAUGAAGAUGGCGGUCCUCUCCUGGUACGUAACACUCGUCAAACAUGUUCGCGUCUCGGUCGCUGUGAUGAAGAUUCUUCCUGCCAUUCGUAGUUUCCUCCAGAGGUCUCACGACCAAAGACGGUCCAAUCCUUCCUUGGAUGUCUGAGCGAGCUCCGUUCUCGCCGUGAACUUUGACCUUUUACUCCGUCGGCUGACAUGUUUUGUUUG